GGGUCUUGCUUUCACCAUCUCGGGAAUGCAUAUAAGGGUGUCUGGAUGGAACUUGGCUCCAAAGCUGACAGAUGCCCCUGCCCCCAUCUGGAGACAAGGCUGCCUGGGGCCAGGCCCCCUCCCAACCUGGGGGUCUACGGUGAGACACCCAGGUGCCCCUCAGAUCGUGGAAGUGGUCUGCAGGAGCUGGGCAAGCCAACUGAGGCACCUCCUCGGGCUCAGGGGCAGCUCCUAUGGCAGACCCCAAGGAAGCAGACUUUGAAUCCAUGAAGGGAGCUGUGCCAGGACAAGAAGGAGGAUGCAGGGGCAAGAAGCCCUGGGUCCACAGGUCAGCUGUCACUGGCUGGGAGAGCCGGGGCCAGGCAGCUCCCCGGGUCAGGGAGGCCACAGGAGACAAGCUCAUUCACAUGCCAGCAGCUGCAGAGCUGACUUCCAGCUUCCUCGCCUCCCCCAACCCUGCCGGGGCAGGGCAGAAAAAGCUGCCCCCAAGGAGACCCAGCUGGCUACAGACAAAGGCAGAUGCUGCAGACAAGGAGACCAGAGAACAAAGUCAAGAGCCUCUGGAAGGAAUCAGACCUAGCUCCCCGAGGCGCCAUGCAGAGCCUGGUUCCCCACCCCAGAGCGGUACUGGCCAGAGGCCAGGACUGCAGCCUCCCUGGUGUGGGCAGAGGGUGGGGGCAGCACAGACUUCUAGAUCUGGGUUCCCAAACACUAUGCAGAGGCUAGCUGGGGAAAGAGCAAGACUGGGUCCCUCCCACUCCCCUUUCCCAAGCCUUGUCCCCACUUCACUGAGAUUUCUCUCUCCAAGGUCACCCGCCAUCUCUGAGCCUCUCAGUCCAAGGGCCUCGUCCUGUAUCUCUGCACAUGGGACCCUACUGAUCACCCCGCCUCCCUCGGCUUCAGGGACACUGCUGUCCCUGGCUGACCACUCACUCUCAGGCUUCUUACCCCAACACCCACCAAGUUCCAAGACUCCACCUGGGUCCCUCCACUCCUUACAGCCCCUCCCUCAUGGUGAUCUCAUCCAGUCCAACUCAGUCAUUUAGUAACAAGUCUGUAUCAGGGCUCUGCCCAGAACAUCAGUCCCGAUCCCUGCCUGCCUGCUGGAUGGGCCUGGAGGCCCAGAGGUAUCUCAGACUCAACGUGCCCAGCCCUGCCUGCUCCCUCCCACCGGUCCCUACUUCUGUCAGGCAUCACCGUCUUUCUUCCACCUGGGUUCCCAUCCUCAUCUCCCUACGCACACUCCCCUCCUAUCUCCAAUCUGUGGCCAAAUCUUAUCUUUUCUACCUUCCCCAAAUCUCUUCUAGACACCAUGGGCACCCCCGGGGCGGGGUCCUCCUCUCCUUGUGCCUGGACCACAGACUCCUGCAGCCUGCUGGCCCGUCUCCCUGCCCCUCCUCACUCAGAUGUGUCUGUCCUUCACUCAGCUGCUGAAGGGACCUGCCUAGUGUGGGCCUGAUCGCCUUACUGCUUCCUAAGAAAUGCCUGAGGCUCCUUAUUACCUCCAGGAAAAAGUCAAUCCUGCUCUGCCUUGUGGCUUAAAGCAGCGCCUCCUCCCUGCAGCCCCCAAUCUAGAUCCCUCCACCUUUCCUGCCUCAUCUCAUAUUAAUCCCCCCCAAGACCUUUGUGUUCCAGCUGGGCUGGCCUGCUGCCUUCCUUCCCUCAUCCAUGGAGAGCCUUCUUACCCCCUUGGAAUUCCUGCUAUCCUCCAAGGUUCAAUUCACCUGCCACCUCCUCCAGGGAGCCCUCCCUGAUUCCUCCAGAUGGGAGGUUCCCUCUCUCUGGUGGAAACCACCUUGCCAUCUUUGCAGCCGUCUCCACUGACUUAGCAGGGUCUGGGCUGCACCUUUGUGGCACGCGGCAAACACCUGGAGGGUAGGGGCUGUCUCUUACUUUUCUCUUUGUAUUGCCAGAGCUCAGCGCAGGCCUCUGCACAGAAUAGGCUUCCUAAGUGGUUUUUCAUUCACUUAUUUAUUCACUCACUCAUUCAUUCUUCCAUCCAUCCAUCCAUCCAUCCAUCCAUCCAUCCAUCCAACCACUCAGGGGGCAUCCUGGGGGAGCUCACAGAGGAGAAGGAAGUAAAAAGGCAGGCUGUUGUCAGCAUCUCACGCUUCCUCGGGGAGGGGGGAGGGGAUGGGCCAGUGACCAGCCACCACCUGGCCAGCGGGGAACUUUGAGCCUCCCUAGCCUUGCGAUGGCCUGACAGGAGGAUGAACACCAGGAAGCGGCCAGCUCUUGGAGCGCUGGAGGAGAAACGGGAGGACCAUUGGAUAGGGACUCGGUUGUUUUCAGCUGAGAAGAAUGAGGGACACUGGACCGUGCUCAUGGGCAGAAAUGGGGAGAGAAUACGGCUCAGCGGCUCCUGCUGGCUGCGAAGCAGGAAGGCAAGAGACCAUUCAUGGGAGGAGGCGGCCCCAGGAGGGGCUGGCACCUUUAGCCAUUGAGGCAUAUGCCUCCUAACCCUGGGGGCACCUACAAAGAGCCUACUGUGGGCCACAUACUGUGCCAGGACAAGGACAAAGACAGCGAUGACCAUCCCUGCCCAUCCUCAAGGAACUUACAGUUGGGAUGGGGUGGAGGACGAUGUCAUGGAGAGAAAAGAUGCAGAAACACGAGGUCAUCUGAAGAGGAUUGGGCGCUGCCAAUGGUGGGGGCAGGCUGGGCAAAGUGAAAAGCAUGACUGCCUUUUUAACCUGUUUGGAAUCCUAUUUGACACCCACUGGGAGCAUUCCUGAAGCUCCUGCA